AUGGAUCCAUCCCAUAUAGUUGCUUAUGCAAACUUGAGUUGUGAAAUAAGAAUAAUACAAGCUCGAAACGUCGAAUUCAUCAAGUCCACUAAAAACUUGUUUGCUAGGUUGUAUGUUCCAACAGGAAACAACAAAAGAAUUCAACUCAACACCAAAAAUGUUUCGGACAAAUCUUUUAAUCUAGAUUGUUCUUGCCCACAAGAAUUCUUGGAAAACCUUAAUGAACAAAGCCUAGUGUUGGAGCUAAGGCAGAGGAAGAUGUGGGGGUCACAACUUAUUGGAAAAGGUGAGAUUCCAUGGAAGGUGAUACUCGAAUCACAAAACAUGGAGUUAAAAGAAUGGUUGAAAAUGGAUUUGGCGAGUGGAAGUGAUUGCAAAGAGGUUAUGUUG